GCUGGGCAUGGUGGCGGGCGCCUGUAAUCCCAGCUACUCGGGAGGCUGAGGUAGGAGAAUUGCUUGAACCCAGGAGAUGGAGGUUGCAGUGAGCUGAGAUUGUGCCACUGCACUCCACCCUGGGUGACAGAGCGAGACUCUGUCUCAA
rnacentral:SRP_RNA from 1 species